rnacentral:tRNA from 1 species
CACUAAGAAGCUAAACUGGUCCUAGCGUUAGCCUUUUAAGCUAAAGAUUGGUGUCCCCCAAGCACCCUUAGUGA